ACUGCAGCCCAAGUGCCCUAGAAAGAUGACAGGAAGCUAUGGAUGGUAUGGCAUAAAUUAUUUCAAUAGCUACGCUGCAAUUAGUGACUUUGUAUUCUGUCUGGCUUAUGGGACUUUCAACCCGGGCAGAAUUCGUGAAGGAGAAAGAGAAGAUUUUCUACCAACAGAGCUUUAUGCCUCCGCAUGGAGCUACUGAAGAAGAGAGCUGAACAAUCCCACCCUACACCGCGGGCUUUGCCAGGGUGAUGUCCUGUGUGUGAGAGUACAUGGAUUUUCCUCCUGAUCAUCUUUAGCAUCAAUGAAAACCAAUCUGAGUUUCACCCGUUCCUGCCUGCUUCUUGCUGGCUUCUAUUGUCUUUAUACUUUACCAUCACAGCAAGACUUGUCAGGAGUAUCCCAUUAAAACAGUGAGUGAGAGUUCUGGCAUCUGUUGGGUUGGAGCACUGGCCCCAGAGGAGAUGACAGAGAAGACAAAGCCGUGAAGACAAUAUGGUCAAAAUUUCAAGACCAGUUGUGUGUUUUUGCUGUCACACUGUCAGAAUUCACAGCUGGGGGAAGCUGCGGAGCAGCAGAAGUUCCUCUCCUCCUGCCCCUGGCUCAUGUGUGCAGCCCUCUCCGGCCGGUCCUUUCUUUUGUCUUGUUCUGGUAGCACCAUCACUUAUUUGGCGGAAAACUGGGGCUUUGUGUCAGUGUUCCUCAAGAUUUUAUAGCCCUCAAAGUCCUGCAGACAUCCAGAGUGCAAAUUGUGACUGUGAGCAGCAGGGGAGAGAACUGAAGAGAGAAGGGGGAAUCAGAAAUCCCUGUCUUUUGGACUUUGCAGAGUCGCUCUUGGCUGGAUAGAGAACUAUUUCCUUGUUGCUUUAUUGCCAGUCCUGCCCUCGGGUAGCUGUGUGUCAUAUUCGCAGCCAGAGCGUGAGACACUCGAGCCUUGUAAUGCUUUUAAACUAAUGAGGGUGCAGUGGAUGAGCUCAGGAUACAUCACGCAGUUUCCAAAGGGCUUUGCGUGUCGUUUACAGCUUGUGCUUCAUAAAGAACAUCUCUUUUUGUAUAGCCUGAACGUAGCUCACCACCAUUUUGGAGCAGGCUCGGGAAUGUUAUCACGACUGGCUUGCUAGGUGAAAGGCUUUUCUAUUUAGCUUUUAAUAGAGCAAAAGUGACUCUAAAUUUGUUAAUAUUCUUUAGGUUAUAUAGGACAAAUUACAGAUAAGUGAAUAAGUAAUGAAAUUUGUAAUGAGAAUUUCUCAAGUAUGAAAUGUUGGCGCAAAUUAAUUGCAGGAUUUUACAGCUAUUAUAGUUUAUAUCAUAAAUGCAAAAAUGACUAGGGCUUUUUAAUUACAGUAGGAACACACUAAAUUUUUAUGGAGUGCCAUUUUGUUAAAGAGGUGCUUUAAACAUUAAGAGCAAAUGCCAUCCGUAACAGCGAGCCCAGAUAUCUGUGCCACAUCAAAUAAAUAUGCUAUUGCUAUGAAAUUGUUCCUCAGAUAUUGUAAUUGACACAAAGACUAAUGAGAGGUCUCUUUUCACACCUUCGGUUUACUGUGUCGUCUUCUCGUGGUCAUUCUUUCUCUUAAUUACUGUGUGUUUGCAGAGGGCCACAGCAAAUCCCGUGGAAAAAUAUACAGGGCUUUUUCACUUACCCUUCAAAGCUGCACGGUAUGCUAAACAUCCUCCCUCAAGGACAAAUGCUCAUCUUUCCAUUUGCACAUCGCUCUCGAUUCGUGUUAUCGGAGUGGCCGGUACUACGCCUUGUAUUAUACAAUACCCAACCCUUGCUUGCGAGGAAUUGCAAAUGAAGUGAUCAUCAGAGAGCUUGCUCAUAAUUAGCUGGUAUGCUUCUCCUGAAGGUGAAUCUCACUGGAGUGGAGGCGGCAUGCAAAUAUGCUGCCGUCACAUCCAGGGGUAGGUAAGAAAGCUUGGAAAAAACAAGCUCUGUCAGGGCGCUGGACCAGGACUUGGUCAGCUCUGGCACUGGCUGGGUAGUGUUAAAAGUGUCCGUUUUGACCUCAGAACUCAUUUCCUCGUCUGCAGGUUUUUAAUGUGACCCACUUUGUGUUCCAAAGUUAUGAUAGAAACCGUGGCAUAAAAACUGGAUAUCAGUAAGCUUCUGCCCCCGAGACAGUGAUGCUCAUAAGGAAGUUCUCUCCCAUGCCUAGAUGACCACGCUGCUCAUUCAGUGCUCGUUGGAUGCAGGCUGGCAGCUGAUCUGGCUGCUGCUGAAUAACAUUUCCUUUGCGAGACCAAGGCUUUGGCCUGAGUAUUUGCACAUCCUUCUCUCUUCUAGACUGAGAAAUCUGUCACCAAGAAAAUAUUAACAAGUCUCCCUUUUGCCUUUGAUAGAUCACUGGUGUGGGAAGCUGAGAUAAAGUUACCUGAGUUUAACUUGGUGAAAGAAGGGCAACCAAAUGUCUUCUGAAAAAAGGUGUGUCUUUAGGUCCUAAGCCACACAAAGUUACAGGGAUUUCCGUAUGGUCACCUUUGGCAGAGAAGUAUCCCUGUGGCUCUGUGGUCUACCAGCGCAUCCAAUUACCUGGAUGCCCGUCAGUCUACUGGUGCUCUGGCCUGACCAGUUGCACCGGGGCUGUACAAGCGGGGUUGUUCCAGCCGAUCCUUGUCCUACAGCCCAUUUCUGUGAAUAGCGCAGGACCUACCGUCUCUCCUAAACUCCCCUAUGCUAUUUCCACAGCGUGGAGGGGUAAAAUGCUGCACAUCCCAUUUCUCCUGCCUUAUCCAAUCUCCUUGCUGCAUUCUGCUUUCAAGGACUGAUGACAAUCUCCCAAACUUGCUUAUUUUGUGCUCGUGAAAGCAAGUGGAGGUUAUUUGAGUCUCACCCCAAAAGUUAUUGGUCUGAAGGAUUUCUCAUAAAUAUGCCAUUUUUUUCCUAACUGCAUUUCCUGGAGCCCUUCCUCACUUUCUGUCUCUGUUCCUGUUUCCUUACUUGCAAAAAAAAAGAGACAACAAAACUACAUGAAAUAUUGCUUAUCUCCCAUUUGAGGGUAAAGAAUGACUGAAGUUGCUGGAGGGCCAAGGGCGCUUCUCGCUGAGCGCAGUCUGGUCCAACUGUGCUGGGCAGCAAGGGGGGUUGUACCUGCUUCAAAGAAGUCCUAUGAAACAUCUCUCCUCCACUCUUUUCUGGGAUGUGAGCCACAUGUGAUACCACAAUCCAGUAAGACCUUGCUUCGAUAAGGUUAGGAUUGAUCUAGCCGAAUAAGAUAAAGCAGCUAAGCAAUAGGAAAACAGCUAAACAAAAAGCCAUACCCAGAUUACAUUUGCGUUUGUACUCAUCGUUGCCUGAAACAUACACCUCAUCAGCCAACUCCUAAAGGAUCUUGCUCCUUUCCAUAUGAAUACAAGAAAAGAAUACAUG